GCGCAAUGGGCGAAAGCCUGACGCAGCAACGCCGCGUGAGUGAUGAAGGCUUUCGGGUCGUAAAGCUCUGUCAGAGGGAAAGAAGUGUAUUGUGGCUAAUAUCCACGAUACUUGACGGUACCCUCAAAGGAAGCACCGGCUAACUCCGUGCCAGCAGCCGCGGUAAUACGGGGGGUGCAAGCGUUGUUCGGAUUUAUUGGGCGUAAAGAGCGUGUAGGCGGUUUGAUUAGUCUGAUGUGAAAGCCCUGGGCUCAACCCAGGAAGUGCAUUGGAUACUGUCAGACUUGAAUACGGGAGAGGGCAGUGGAAUUCCUGGUGUAGGAGUGAAAUCCGUAGAUAUUAGGAGGAACACCGGUGGCGAAGGCGGCUGCCUGGACCGAUAUUGACGCUGAGACGCGAAAGCGUGGGUAGCAAACAGGAUUAGAUACCCUGGUAGUCCACGCCGUAAACGAUGAGUACUAGGUGUUGCGGGUAUUGACCCCUGCAGUGCCGCAGCUAACGCAUUAAGUACUCCGCCUGGGAAGUACGGUCGCAAGACUA
rnacentral:rRNA from 1 species